rnacentral:rRNA from 1 species
GACGAACGCUGGCGGCGUGCUUAACACAUGCAAGUCGAGCGGUAAGGCUCCUUCGGGCGUACACGAGCGGCGAACGGGUGAGUAACACGUGAGUAAUCUGCCCUUCACUUCGGGAUAACCACCGGAAACGGUGGCUAAUACCGAAUACGACCAGUCUUCGCAUGAGGUGCUGGUGGAAAGUCUUUUCGGUGAAGGAUGUGCUCGCGGCCUAUCAGCUUGUUGGUGGGGUAAUGGCCUACCAAGGCUUCGACGGGUAGCCGGCCUGAGAGGGUGACCGGCCACACUGGGACUGAGACACGGCCCAGACUCCUACGGGAGGCAGCAGUGGGGAAUAUUGGACAAUGGGCGAAAGCCUGAUCCAGCAACGCCGCGUGAGGGAUGACGGCCUUCGGGUUGUAAACCUCUUUCAGUACCGACGAAGCGCCCUGUCGGGUGGUGACGGUAGGUACAGAAGAAGGACCGGCCAACUACGUG